rnacentral:tRNA from 1 species
GUGCGUGUAGCUCAGUUGGAUAGAGCGUUCGCCUCCGGAGCGAAAGGUCGUGGGUUCGACUCCCAUCAUGCACA